rnacentral:rRNA from 1 species
CACGUAGGGCGCAAGCGUUGUCCGGAAUUAUUGGGCGUAAAGAGCUCGUAGGCGGACUGUCACGUCCGCUGUGAAAAGCUAGGGCUUAACCCUGGCCUUGCAGUGGAUACGGGCAGACUAGAGGUAGGUAGGGGAGAAUGGAAUUCCCGGUGUAGCGGUGAAAUGCGCAGAUAUCGGGAGGAACACCAGUGGCGAAGGCGGCUACCUGGACAGAAACUGACGCUGAGGCGCGAAAGCUAGGGGAGCAAACAGG